CAUACGCGCAACCUGGGUCACCAUGGUCCAUCACCACCGGAUCUCUUCAGAUACUUCUUGACCGGCAUCAGAUUCACCUCCAGAUCUCUAACAGGUAGCUUCCGGGGAUUAGGUCGUUGAAGUGCAACUGACGAGCUUUCCACCUCCUCAACACCUUCGUGCACGAGAUCCUUACCAGCCUUUCUCAGUCUUCAAGGAUGUGGCAGAUGGCCGCAGCAAAGACCUUCAUGUUCCAGGCAGAGAUCAACUAUCUCCUAAGCUUGAUUACCAACACUUUCUGCAACAACAAGGAGUUCCUUCGUGAACUAAUCCACAACUGAUCUCAUGCUAAAGUUUCCUUUACUCUCACAAGGGACGUCAGUAGAGAGCAACUUGGCAGAGGAACCAAAGUCACACCGUUCCUCAAGGAGGAUGAGGUAGGAUACUUUCCAAUCUUCAUUUGAAUUAUGUAGCAUUUGUGUGCUUUUAGCAGAGUAACAUAGUGGUCAAUCGGUCACUGAGUAUAGUUGAUGUUAAGUUGGAUUAUUUGGAGGAGAGAAAAAUCAAGGACCUUGUGAAGAAGCAUUUCGACUUACUCAGUUACCCCAUUUAUGAAUAUGCUAUGGGGCAAUUGAAGGAAUAUGAUGGGAAGAAGCUGGUCUCAGUCCCUAAUGAGGGACUGAAACUUGACGACAAGACCGAAGAGGAGAAGAAAAAGGAGUCUUGCAAGAACCUGUGCAAGAACAUUAAGGACAUUCUCCGGGACAAGGUGGAAAAGGUUGUCAUCUCCGACAGAAUUGUGGUCUCGUCUUGCUGCCUGGUGACUAGAGAGUAUGGGAGGCAAACAUAAAAAGAAUCGUGAAAGCUCAGGCCCUCAGAGACAACUGCAUGGGCUCCUACAUGUCGAGGAAGAAGAUUAUGGAAAUUAAUCUCGACAAUGUAAUCAUGGAGGAGUUGAGGAAGAUACCUGAGGCCGAUAAGAAUGACAAGUCGAGGAAGAGAAUAUUCACUAAAAAUUUUAUAAAUCAAGAUGUAUCUUUUGGAUUGGGAGAAGUGAUAAUUAUGCCAAGCUCUAUCUAUUGAUGUUUACAUA